CAUAAAUCUACGGGGGGGGGGGGGGGGGGGGACCAACAGGAUUAUGGCGCUGUGACAGCCAUCAGAACAGAGAGACCUAGAUGGGAAGGGAGAAAUGUGGGGACCUGUUACGGAACAAAGAAAAGGAUCCUGGAACCUAACUGGUCAGGUAAGAGGAAGGAAGCCAAGCAUCUUCCGUCAGGGGAAAGGAUAGCGAAGGAAGGAAACUGGUAAAUACAGGUAGGGAUUUAUUUGGAACCAUUUUGAGAAAGGGAGUUCUCAAUGUCAUCCCAUCCUCCAUUCAUCCGUGUAUCCUUCAGUCCCAAUAUUCACAGACCGCACUGGGGGCCCACAGCUGUGACCCAGUAACUCAGGCUGUAAUCCUUCAAUGCUCUCCUCUUUUGGCCUGGCUCAUCCUACUCACACCUUUGCUGAAACUCCUACAGAGAAGCCUGCCUCGAUCCCUGGGAUUAGUAGGUCUUCCCACCCCCUCUACUCCCCUUUGGCUGGCCUCCCGCGAUGCCCUCAUGUGUGGGGUCUUCCCCUAUAAUAAAACUCUGAGCCUUUGCCUGGAAUGUCCUCUACUCCCCAACUUCACCUAGUAAAAUCCUACCCAUCUUGGAAGCUCACCCAAAAUGACAUGAAGUUAUUUUUAAUCAACCUAGGUAGAAGAGACUCCUCUCAAAAUCCCAGCCACAUUUUCUUCCUCUCACUCCCGGGCCUCCAGCCACAUGUAUUGUGGGUGUCUGCAUCACACUGCCUCCUUCAUUCAGAAGUUCUUUGAGACACAUCUAUUUCAUCUUCCUUCAUCAUAGGACCUAACACAAGGCUUCACAUCUACUAGAUGUUCAAGAAAUAUUUGCUGAAGGCAUAGAUGUAUCAAGUGAAGACAUGGGGGUGGGAGAUGUGGGCAAGAUCUGUGAUUCAAGACAAAUGAGAAUCCAAUUCAGCGUCCACUCAGUGGCCAAGGGCUUCA